rnacentral:lncRNA from 1 species
AUGAAAUGUGAAUACCCAGAUCUGCAGUUGCACUCCCCACCUUUCACGGGCUCAGUGGCCACGAGAUCUAGCAGCACAGAUGAAGAACACUUCUGUCGUCACGGAAACUUGUCGGACACCACCGCUCUAAAGGGCAGGUCUCCAGGCCUAGCCCUGUGGCCUGGGUCAGGUGAACGACGCUGUCGAGACCUCACGGCCCCCCGUCCCGGCUUUGGUGAAGGAUUUCACUGGUCGUUGGCUCAUCGGAGGCUUUCAGAGGGAAGUUCAGGUGUUCAGAUUCCAUCCCACCUAUGGGAGGAGAUGGGCACGUGAGGGCACCGGGAACUGACCCUGUGGCUUUUUUUUUUCCUUUUAAAUACAUGAGUCAUGGGACUUCCCUGGUGGCCCAAUGGUUAAGACUCUGUGUUUCCAAUACAAGGGGUGUGGGUUCGAUCCCCGGUAGGGGAACUAAGAUCUUAUAUGUCACGUUGCACAGUCAAAAAAAAAAAAAAGAUGCCAGUCACAGGGCUGCACACUUUACAUGUGCUACCAGUAACAGUAUUAAGUAAUUGUGACUGUCACAUACUGGGUGCUUACGUGCGUGCCAGACCCCAGCCUGUCCUUGCCAGGCGUCGCUUCCCCCCAGGAGAGGGCCAGCACUCGCCUUAUUCACGCACUGAACCACCUCUGGCUGGAGAGGCACCCAGCUCAUUCUGUCCCUGACUCUGGGGUGAUUCUGCUUGAAUGCUGUCUACAAAGCCAUUUCCCAACCAUUCACCACAGUCUCUUGUUUCCUUUUUAAUUAGAAUAACUGUAACUUUUUAGUAUGGCCUUAACGUAGUACUUUUUUGUCCUAUUUAAACUCACCCAGGGAUGAUUUGCAGGAAAAGGAGACUGGGGACUCCAUGACUGGGUGUUGACCCCUCCACCCCUCCUGCUGUUUGUUCUUGUUUUCUGUUUUAAAUUGAAAUAUAGUUGAUUUACAAUGCUGUGUGCUCUUGCUCUUUAAAAAACAGACUUAUAGAUUCUCUUCAUGUAAAAUCUCAUCAUUUCCAUUGGUAAAGCUGUCAUCCUCGGGAAGUUAUUUGAGCCCCUUUGUCCUCAUGAUCAGAUCACACAGCUUCUUUCUCCUCUGAAGAACCUGAAAAGCAGUUUACAUUAAAUAUUAGAGCACCUGACUACCACUGGCUAAUUUAAUUGUGGACUUCAACGUAAGCUUCAGGGAUGUUUUUCCAUCCUGAGCUGUCAGUGGUAUUUGCUGAUGAGAGGUUUCAGUUUGCAAUCCCUGGUCAAUCAGUGCUUUACUCUCAGGAGGAAAUUAAAGAAAUCACUU